UACGUAGGGGGCUGGCGUUGUCCGGAUUUAUUGGGCGUAAAGAGCUCGUAGGCGGUUCGAUAAGUCGGACGUGAAAUCUCCACGCUCAACGUGGAGGGGCCGUUCGAUACUGUCGUGACUCGAGUCCGGUAGGGGAGUGUGGAAUUCCCGGUGUAGCGGUGAAAUGCGCAGAGAUCGGGAGGAACACCCGUAGCGAAGGCGGCACUCUGGGCCGGUACUGACGCUGAGGAGCGAAAGCGUGGGGAGCAAACAGG
rnacentral:rRNA from 1 species